rnacentral:rRNA from 1 species
AUGGUCGAGGCGGAGGCGGUCGACGUCGGACGUGGAGGCGUAGUCCGGGUACAUGGAGAGGAAGGUGGCUAUGGCGUGGGCGAGGAGCGGCAGGUCGGAGAUGGAGCGGAAGGGGCCGGCGGCGGCGGCGAGGGCGGUGGCGCGGAGGAAGUCGCGCUGCGCCCGCAGGCGCGCCAGGGAGCGGGAGCGCGUGACGGCGGCGUCCUCCUCGGCGCCGGCGGCGUCGGGCGGCGGGCAGAGGGCGCCCUCCUCCGACGCGGCGUCCAGCGCGUCGCGCAGCUGCCGGAGGAACGACGCCGGGUCGUCCCGCCGGCCGUUGCCGCCUCCAUGCCCGCCGCCGCCGCCUCCACCUCCACCGCGCCGCCGGUGGUUCUUGGAGAGGAGGAUGGCGGCGCAGUGGGAGAGCGGCUUCCACAGGGAGAGAUGCAUGUGCCGCCCCCCGAGCUGUCGGAUCGACGACGGGGAAACCAACUGCGUGCGUCGCGGCUGGGAUCAGCGGGCGCGGCGAGGCAUGGGGAUGGGGCUGACCGGAAAACCCCGAGAUUUCUGGGUGGGUGGUGGGAUUUCGGAUCAGCGGGCGCGGAGAAAACUGCGGCUCGGCUCCGGGUGGGGAAGGGAAGGGAAAGAAAACCGGAUCUUCCGCCGGGGGGGAGAAAAUGGGGGAUCAGAAAUGUCAGAGCCCUCAACCAAGAACAGUGGCCGGCCGGCUGCGGGUGCAGAAAUCUCAGGUUCUCCUUGGGUUUGAGGCGGGGAAACCGCGGAUUUUCUCGGAGAGGAGAAGAAAUGGAGGAGGGUGGGGAGGGCUUGAAAUGCAAUGACACGCUCCGCCUUUCCCAGCAAAAAGGAGAGGGCUUUGGCUUUUGGCAGGACCAAGAACUCAAAUUAAAGAAGAAGGAUAGAAAGGAAGAUAGAAACCUCAGCAAAGAUUUGACUCCACUCUCCUUGCUUUUGCACACCACCACCACCAAGAAGAACUCAUCAAUGCUCUCUCAAACCAGUGGAAAUCCAGCAAGAGCAAGGUCACUCAGAUCCUCCCCGCUCUCACCAAACUCGUCGCGAGUGGUUUGGAGCGCACUAAAUGCGUUGGUAUCAUGA